rnacentral:rRNA from 1 species
UGGGGAAUUUUGGACAAUGGGGGCAACCCUGAUCCAGCCAUGCCGCGUGUGUGAAGAAGGCCUUCGGGUUGUAAAGCACUUUCGGCCGGAACGAAAUCGCGCGAUCUAAUAAGUCGCGUGGAUGACGGUACCGGAAGAAGAAGCACCGGCUAACUACGUGCCAGCAGCCGCGGUAAUACGUAGGGUGCAAGCGUUAAUCGGAAUUACUGGGCGUAAAGUGUGCGCAGGUGGCCGCGCAUGUCGAGUGUGAAAUCCCCGGGCUUAACUUGGGAACUGCGCUCGAAACUACGUGGCUCGAGUGUGGCAGAGGAAGGUGGAAUUCCACGUGUAGCGGUGAAAUGCGUAGAGAUGUGGAGGAACACCGAUGGCGAAGGCAGCCUUCUGGGCCAACACUGACGCUCAUGCACGAAAAGCGUGGGGAGCAAACA